rnacentral:rRNA from 1 species
UACGUAGGGGGCGAGCGUUACCCGGAUUUACUGGGCGUAAAGCGCGUGUAGGCGGCUGGCCAAGCGUGGUGUGAAAUCUUCGGGCUUAACCCGAAAACUGCAUUGCGAACUGGUCUGGCUAGAGUGUGUGAGAGGGUAGUGGAAUUCCCGGUGUAGCGGUGAAAUGCGCAGAUAUCGGGAAGAACACCCGUGGCGAAGGCGGCUCUCUGGGACGGUACUGACGCUGAGACGCGAAAGCGUGGGGAGCGAACAGG